ACAAUCAAAAUCUCCUGCAAAAAGCCCUCUUGUAUUUUUCUGGAUAAAGCAAAUCUCAACUUUAUCUUUAAUUUUCUGCAAAAUUCAUCGCUAAUUAUAGCUUCAAUUCAAUUUUCAUGACGCCGUUGCUUUAUUUUUUGCUCGGUUUAACGGAAUUCCGGUGGCAAAAGCAAUUUUAGUGAGUGCUUUUCUGAUGAGUACACUAGGUUUAAUUGUAUUGAUGAAAUUUUGUUUAAAGGUAUGAUAGGGUAUAUAUAUGAAGAAUUUGUGGUUCUGAAGAAGAAGAAAUGCGGAGUUUGUUUUAGUUGACAAGGAUUUAGGAAAGGUUAUGUUGUGUGACAUCUUCCUUAUCAUCAGUAGUUUUAGAUCUGGAUGACAGGGAGUGUUUCAAUGAAAAUCGUUGGCGAUGAAGACAAAAAAUGUUUGGAUGAGGAAAAGGUUAUCGGAGAUGGAAUUGGAAUUUCUCAUGAGGGGAUAAAUGUAGUUAAGGAUAAUGAGUUGAAAAUUAAUAUGAUUAGUAAUAACAAGAUAGGAGGGAGGGAGAUCACGUUGCAAGCUCAACGAGGUUUGAAAUUGCAAGAACAACAAUAUUGUCAAGUUACAGCAGUCUGCUGGCAACAAUUUCUUCAUGUCACCUCCGUUAAAGUGCUGCUGGUGGAGAAUGAUGAUUCUACACGACACGUUGUCUCCGCUUUACUUCGAAAUUGCAAUUACGAAGUUAUAGAAGCAGCCAAUGGAUUGCAAGCUUGGAAGAUCCUGGAAAACCUGACCAAUCACAUUGAUCUAGUGUUGACAGAGGUUGUAAUGCCUUGCUUGUCAGGCUUAGGUCUCCUUACCAAAAUCAUGAGCCACUACACACGCAAGACUGUUCCUGUUAUCAUGAUGUCAUCUCAUGAUUCAAUGGAUAUAGUCUUCAAGUGUUUGUCAAAAGGUGCACUUGACUUCCUGGUAAAACCUAUACGGAAGAAUGAGCUUAAGAACCUGUGGCAGCACGUGUGGAGAAGAUGCCAUAGUUCUAGUGGAAGCGGGAGCGAAAGCGGUACUCAAACCCAAAAAUCUAUAAAAUCAAAAAGUAGUGAGAAGUCUGAAAACAACAGCGGUAGCAAUGACGGGGAAGAUAAUGGGCGGUACGGCCUAAAUGUUGGUAAAGGCAGUGAGGAUGGAAGUGGCACACAGAAUUCCUGGACAAAGCAAGCUGUUGAAGCUGUUAGCUCUCAGGCAGUUUCUCCAUUGAAUCAGGUACCUGAGUGUCCAGACAGCACUUGUGCACAGGUUGUUAGUUCAAAGGCAGAAAUUGCUGCUUACAAGAAUGCACAGAGAAAUGCCAAAAGGAAAUGCCAAGAAGAAGAAGAACAUCCUGAUUACAUUGCAAAAAAACCCUCCCUCAAGGGCAUACCUAGAAAUCAGAAGUUACAACCUGAAAAUGCAAUUCAGGUUCCAGUCGAACUUGUUGAUGCAGAACAUAAGACCCUGCUGGCAAUAAAUUCCAACCCAAGCAGUUUGAAGAUGGAUGAACACCAGGAAAGUCUAGAUGGUAAUGUUCCAUCGACAGAAUAUCAUGAUGUGACUGCUGAGACAGCUCAUCCUCGGACCAACAGUAGAAGGUUGAACAAAGCUGUGCAGUUAUUAGAAAUCAAUAAUUUAUCCAUUGGUGAAUCUAAAGAGCCAAGUUUUCAAACGGUAAAAGUACCCGAAAAAGGUGCUCAAGAUGAUUUUAGUGUUUUGAGAAGAUUAGAUCUUUCAGCUUUCUCAAGGUAUAAUUCAUCCUCAAACCCUACAAGGACUCCUAAUGGGAUUACACUUGGCAGUUCUAUAAUUAAUAAUGGCCAAGAAAUUGCCAAGAAAGAAUCAGUAUGUGAUAUUCCAACUCAUACAGAUGAGAAAUUUCUACAUCCGAGCUCAAGUGGAACUAUCAAUAUUAUAGAUAAGGGGUCCACCACUAACAAGAUUUCUGAGGAACCAUUACUUUCUAGAGAAAAGGCAGAAGCAACAUCAACAAUUAAGGGUUUGCACUCAUCAUCAGCUUUCAAGCCUGUGAAUAUUGAUUUCAGAAUCUCCCAUCAGCAAGUGCCACAAGUUAAGCUUAAACCUUGUAACAUGCAAGCUACAGACAGUCUUGUUCUGCGAGGCUCUCUCACUGACAUCCAGCACCCUCAUCAGCACCACCACCAUUAUCACUUCCAUGACGUAGAUCAAGAUUGCACUUCCACCCAUGUAGAUUUCUCAUUGAAGAAACUAACUGCCGGUGGCCCAAGUUGUGCUUCAUUCAACAUUCUAUCUAGGCCUUGUGAAGGGAACCCUGAGUAUCACAGUUUGAACAGAAGUGCUUCGGGAAGUAACCGUGGAAGCAAUGUGCAGGAUGGAAGCUUCACAGCUAUAAAUGCUGGAGGAACAAAUGGGGAAAGUGAUAAUGGGUUAGCUGGCAAAAAUGAAAGUGGUGAUGCCAGCGGCAUUGGUUGUGGAAACACGACAGAUCCUUCUAAACUUGCCAGAGAAGCAGCCUUGACCAAAUUUUGUCAGAAGAAGAAAGAUAGAUGCUUUAAGAAAAAGGCAAAUGGACUUUAAUUAGGCAGGCAAUACUUGAACUGUUACUUCUGAACCUCUUGACCAAAUCUUAAGAGAAUUGAUUUAUCUUCUUCCAAGUCAAGUGACCCUAACUAGUUGAAGCCGGUGUACUACCUCUCUGCAUCAUACAGUUGAUCGUGGGGGAACACACAUAUUUCUAGUUCCAGUAAUAUUCCUUUUGUAUCUUGCAUGCAGUCAUUCAGAAAGAGAUAGGAGUGCCUUCUAUACAUAGGGAGUUGGAACUUUACAAGGAAUGAGGUUGACCUGAUAUGAGUACAUGGAUUGAAGCCGUAAAAGCUACGCGGCAAAACGCAUGCAACAAUCAAGAAGAUUGCAUUCUCUGUUAUUUUGCUGAAGUCAAAUGGCUAUACCAUCCAUCCAUUUGAAUCCGAAUGGUGUAGUAGCGUUAAUCUUUCUUCCUUGAAUUGUAUAUUUCGGUUUUAUACUAAAACAGAACGAGACUAGCUGAAGCCAGGUGUUUUUGAGGAUAUUUUAUGAGGCAGGCAGAGCAAAAACAACCCAAACGAUACUUGAGCAGUGUCUAAAAAGGCGGGUGCGAGGCGAGGCGAGACGUUUUAUACCGUACAGGGCCAGGCGUAAGCCUCGAGAUAGAAAAGGUAUAUAUACCAUUUGAUUACCUUGUGUAUUAUUAUGUUAUUUCUUUUUUGUUAUUAUUUUGCACUUGGUAUCGACUUUAAGGCAUCUAACUAGUCGAGAUUUCUA